rnacentral:rRNA from 1 species
UACAUGGGGUGCAAACGUUGCUCGGAAUUAUUGGGCGUAAAGCGCACGUAGGCGGUUCGUUAAGUCGGAUGUGAAAGCCCUCGGCUCAACUGAGGAAGUGCACCCGAAACUGGCGAGCUUGAGUACGAAAGAGGAUCGCGGAAUUCCCGGUGUAGAGGUGAAAUUCGUAGAUAUCGAGAGGAACACCUGCGGCGAAGGCGGGUUGCUGGGCUGACACUGACGCUGAAGCGCGAAAGCUAGGGGAGCGAACGGG